rnacentral:rRNA from 1 species
UACGGGGGGGGCAAGCGUUGUUCGGAAUUACUGGGCGUAAAGGGCUCGUAGGCUGCCAACUAAGUCGGACGUGAAAUCCCUCGGCUUAACCGGGGAACUGCGUCUGAUACUGGAUGGCUUGAGUUUGGGAGAGGGAUGCGGAAUUCCAGGUGUAGCGGUGAAAUGCGUAGAGAUCUGGAAGAACACCAAAGGCGAAGGCAGCAUCCUGGGAAGUAACUGACGCUCAUGUGCGAAAGCUAGGGGAGCGAACGGG